CUAGCACCAUUUGAAAUCAGUGUU
rnacentral:ncRNA from 4 species